AACGAACGCUGGCGGCAUGCCUAACACAUGCAAGUCGAACGAGGCCUUCGGGUCUAGUGGCGCACGGGUGCGUAACGCGUGGGAACCUGCCUUUAGGUUCGGAAUAACUCAGAGAAAUUUGAGCUAAUACCGGAUGAUGUCUUCGGACCAAAGAUUUAUCGCCUUUAGAUGGGCCCGCGUUGGAUUAGCUAGUUGGUGGGGUAAAGGCCUACCAAGGCGACGAUCCAUAGCUGGUCUGAGAGGAUGAUCAGCCACACUGGGACUGAGACACGGCCCAGACUCCUACGGGAGGCAGCAGUGGGGAAUAUUGGACAAUGGGCGAAAGCCUGAUCCAGCAAUGCCGCGUGAGUGAUGAAGGCCUUAGGGUUGUAAAGCUCUUUUACCCGAGAUGAUAAUGACAGUAUCGGGAGAAUAAGCUCCGGCUAACUCCGUG
rnacentral:rRNA from 1 species